GGCAGAGCUUUGAUGUCACUCUUGCUUCCUGCUGCCCUGCCACGCACUGCCUCUCUGCCGUGCCCUCUGCCAUGCCGUCCUGCCUUGGAAACCAGCUGCCCAGGGACUAAAGCGGCUACAAACUGUGCGCCAGAAUAACCCUCUCCUCCUUUAACUUGGGGAUGUCUGAUCUUUUGUUUCAGUGACGAGAUGCUAACUAAGACAGUUACAAAGAGAACUGUUCUCACCACGGAACACAGUAAAAUUCUGUCGAAUUGGAACUUGAAGCUGCCAUCCGUCCUCCUUGGGCACUGCACCAACAGGCGGAUCACUGGCUCAGGUGAUUGACGUCCUGAGAGACUGAGCUGCAGUUUAAUGGUGGCUUUAAUGAGGAAGAAUGCAGGAAACUCUUUGGACCGACCCUUCACGCUCUCAGAUCCUCUGUGUAAGCAAUGAGAAAAGUAACUGAGACAGCUGGAGAUAUGACGGUGAAGGCCCUGGACUCCAUCCCCAGAACCACACACAAAACAAACACACACAGCCUGCGUCCCCUGACGGGUCUGUAGGUAGGAAUCCAGGCGUGGCUCUGCAGGGUCCUUUACCUUAGGGUCCCUCACACGGGGCUGCAGUCAAGGUCCUGACCAGAACUGCAGUCACCCCGGAGCUGAGCCUGGACAGAAUCUGCACCCGAACUCACCCCUGAGGUUCCCAGAAGAUGCAGUGCCCUGUGGGCUGUGGGACUGAGGACUGCCCUCCACUACUCGCCGUGGGAACCUGGCCACCGGGCGGCUCUACCGACAUGCGUUGUCUGGCUUCUUCAGAGCAAGCAAGAGAGAGAAAGAGUGCAAGAGGACAAAGGUCACCGUCCUUUAAAAAGAAAGCUCGGGAGAAAGCUCUCAUUACUGUCAUCUACUCUAUUCUUCAAUUUUAAAAUGCUUCCCUAGUACAUGUUUGCAGGACACCGUGAUUGCAUUCUUCACGGGGAACCAGGACAGGAACGCACUCUGCUCAUAGCGAACUAUAAGGCUUUGCCUCUGUCUCAAGACCAAACCACUUCCAUUAAUUUGAGAGGGGAAGGCGUUAUAUAUUUGUUCCAGCACCCGGUUCUCCAGAAAUAAACCACAGUAUUGUGGAUGACACAGAGACAAGGCAGAUGCUGGCAUACAGUGAAAAUGAAUUAAUAGCAACAUCUAUGCUGCCCCGACGGUAGCAACAGAAUCAGCAACGAGUCAAAGACAGGCUGGAUACUGGCAUGCUAUAAGAACCAGUGUAAGCUGCCAGUGUACCACUCUUAGCCAUAGAAAAGAGAUCUAUAAUUGUAAUACAGACACAAAGAUAAACCAGCUAUUAACACACAGUACAUAGCUACUAAAUUCAUCAACUAUAAGACCAUUAAAAAUGAAAAAUUGCAUACUGUUGACUAAAAUAUCUAAAGAUUAAUAAAGCUCGUUGGUUAUGCUGGUGAAGGUGGAGGGGGUGAAGGAUGAGAGAAUGAAAAAAGUGAAAUUUGAAAAAUAAAGAAAAGGAAGAGAGAAAAGUGUGUGAAAUAAU